rnacentral:rRNA from 1 species
AGUGAACGCUGGCGGCAGGCCUAACACAUGCAAGUCGAGCGGCAGCGCGUCCGACCACCCUCGGGUGGUCGGAUGGCGGCGAGCGGCGGACGGGUGAGGAAUGCAUCGGAAUCUGCCUCGUUGUGGGGGAUAACGUAGGGAAACUUACGCUAAUACCGCAUACGACCUACGGGUGAAAGUGGGGGACCUUCGGGCCUCACGCGAUGAGAUGAGCCGAUGCCGGAUUAGCUAGUUGGCGGGGUAAAGGCCCACCAAGGCGACGAUCCGUAGCUGGUCUAAGAGGAUGAUCAGCCACACUGGAACUGAGACACGGUCCAGACUCCUACGGGAGGCAGCAGUGGGGAAUAUUGGACAAUGGGGGCAACCCUGAUCCAGCCAUGCCGCGUGUGUGAAGAAGGCC